UACAACAUAAUCUAAAGCCCCUUUCACAAUAGUAGGCCUUUUCAUGCAACCAUGAAAGAGACACUGCUAAAAUGAGUAAUAAGAGGGCCGCCCCUCUCCCAACACCUAUGUAACUCAGAAACGAACCCAUCACUGAAAAUUAACGCCCCCAACAAAAGAGGGCCCUGGGGAAAACCCAACAUAACCUAGAAAUCCACCCAAAACCUAGCGUUAACCCUACACAGGUGUGUUUUAGGAAAGACUAAAAGAAAAAGARGGAACUCGGCAAACAUUGGCCUCGCCUGUUUACCWAAAACAUCGCCUCUUGCAACAACUGUAUAAGAGGUCCCGCCUGCCCUGUGACUACAUCAGUUUAACGGCCGCGGUAUUUUGACCGUGCGAAGGUAGCGUAAUCACUUGUCUUUUAAWUGGAGACCUGURUGAAUGGCAUAACGAGGGCUAAGCUGUCUCCUUUUUCCAGUCAAUGAAAUUGAUCUUCCCGUGCAGAAGCGGGAAUACAACCAUAAGACGAGAAGACCUAUGGAGCUUAAGACACAAGGUACCCAUGUAAAAUCCCUGGCUAAACAGAACUAACCAAGUGGUACCUGCCUUUUGUCUUUGGUUGGGGCGAACGUGGGGAAAGCAAGCAUCCCCCAUGCGGAAUGGGGCCCACUCYCUUWAAGCUARAGSKAYAGCUCCAGCUAACAKAAUAUCUGACCKACAAGAUCCGGCRWAGCCGAUCAACGGACCGAGUUACCCKAGGGAUAACAGCGCAAUCCCCUUUUAGAGCCCAUAUCGACAAGGGGGUUUACGACCUCGAUGUUGGAUCAGGACAUCCUAAUGGUGCASCCGCUAUUAAGGGUUCGUUUGUUCAWCGAUUAMAGUCCUACGUGAUCUGAGUUCAGACCGGRGAAAUCCAGGUCAGUUUCUAUCYAUGAGUGCUCUUUUCUAGUACGAAAGGACCGRAAAGAAGAGCCCAUGCUAKAAGUAUGCCUCCCCCUUACCUAAGGAAGCCAACUAAAAUAGGUAAAARGGCACAGCACCCUGCCYKARAAAAAGACGUGCAUCA
rnacentral:rRNA from 1 species